CGGCCGGAGACGGUCCGGCGAGUGGCGGAUCCACGGCGGCGGUCAAGGAGAUGCAGCUGAUCUUUGCAACUGCGGUUUUAUGAUUCAUAUUUUUGGGAACUGAAAGUUUCCUCAUGACCUCAAGGGUAUUGUUGCAGCAACCGCGAGCUCGCUAUGCACGACUCAGCUCAGUCAGCUGGGAAGCGAUGCCAGAAAUAGUCCAGGCCCCUUGCGUUGGUGGUGGAUGCCUGCAUAAAAGUUGCUCAUGAUGUGUGGAACCACAGCUCCGUCAAUCACUAGGAUUGGAUACAACAUGGUCAUUUAUGUGGUGGAGAGGGAGUCCUGGAGGUCAUCGUCAACCAGAGAUUGCUAAUGUUCUUUCCUGAGGCAAAUGAGGUUACUAUUGCAAGACAUACAACCUUUGUGCCAUUGUUUAUAUUUCAUUUUUUGCUUAAUCUUUGUCAUUUUUGGAUCUUGGUAAGGUUUGGAGCGUAUCAAACCUUUGCAUUUAUGGUAACCCUUUUAAUUACUAAAAAUAAUGGAGUUUUCCAUUCUGUGAGUUUCUAUUUUUAUUUCCCUGGAUGUCGAGUUAGUUUUGGUGAGGCCGGUUCAGGCCCGAUCCAUUGCCUCCUUCAUGCUCCAGACCAAGCUCUCCAUCAAGCCAAGUGGCGGGUGAAGCUGGAGCCAGAGCGCACGCCAAGUGACGGCGACAGCCGGACGCGGCAGCGGCGGUAGGCAGCGUGCGCCAAGUGACGGGGCGGGUGGAUGCCGCAGCAGCAGCUCCCCCUCCCCCUUCUCUUCAUCUCUCUAAUGGGAUUGUUGCUUGGUUGGAUAUAGAAACAAAUGAAGAUGUGGAAAGGAUUCUUGAGGGGAACAGUUCAUCACGGGCGCUGUUUCCGGGGGCAAAUUGCGGUGUUGGUGUUGCUUCACAGGUUUGGUUAGCUUUGCAGGAGCUGCGGCCAGAUGGACCGUGGACGCGCGUCCAGUGCACGAACAUGGCCCAGGAGUGGCACCGGUGUGCUUGGCGAUGAGCCGGUGAGUUUCCCUCUAUCUUUCUUCCUCUUUGCACCUGGUCUCUCUCAAACAAAUUUCUUGAAGCAUAUGUUUGUGAGGUAGUGAGGUGUGAACAGGUAGUGAGGUGUAAAUACGUUCUCAAAGUUUCCUGAAGCUUAUAUUUGUGCAUGAUCUGUGGCACCUAACAAAGGUAUUGGAGAACCGAGGGUAUUGAUUUGGAUCAACAUUUUGAUUGCAAGAUAUUUUUUGCAAGUGGCCAAUUGCGAUCACACUUAUUUGAAACCCAUACGUCGGUGAUGAAGGAGCUUACCACCAUCGAAUGUGUCAAUGCUAUAUGGGCCAUGCAUGCGACAAACCAGCAAUGCCCACGGAGGAUGGCAGCAUUGAGGGCCGCCCGUGGGGAGAAGACGAGGAAGAGGGUAAGGCAGUGGGGCUGACGGAAGUGAGUUCGCUCGAUGGAUUUGAUCCGAUGGUCGUGCGCCCGGAGGACGCAAUGCAUGCGAUCCCUCGGAUG